rnacentral:ncRNA from 1 species
UGAAACGCAAAGAACGGGAACAGUAGGAAGCCAGCGCGUUCAGAGAGCUGCGGGUCGGUGCGACGCAGCACGUUAGCGGAUUCCGAAGCUCGCCUGGGAGCGGUCAUGCGGAACACGCCGAGCCCCAACACUGGAGCGGCAGGCGUCGGUACGGAUGAACGGGUCGCCUCCGUAACCAGGCCAGAGUGGGUGUUAACGCAGCGUGCGGAAGCUUCGGCUUCGGCGGACGCCAAUCGUUGCACCAACAAGAGUGGUACCGCGCGGGCACAGCCUGUCGUCUCUUUC